rnacentral:rRNA from 1 species
UACAGAGACUGCAAGCGUUAUUCGGAUUCACUGGGCGUAAAGGGUGCGCAGGCGGCCAAGUGUGUUAGGCGUGAAAGCCCGAGGCUUAACCUCGGAAUUGCACCUAGAACUACAUGGCUAGAGUACUGGAGAGGGUAACGGAAUUCACGGUGUAGCAGUGAAAUGCGUAGAUAUCGUGAGGAACACCAGAGGCGAAGGCGGUUACCUGGACAGUUACUGACGCUCAGGCACGAAAGCGUGGGGAGCAAACAGG